GGACUGCGGCGCACUUCCGUAGAGGUGGACAUGGCGUGCGGCUUUCGCCGCGCUAUUGCUUGCCAGGUAUGGAUCCCGGAGCGCGCAGAGGAGUCCCUGAGGAGCUAGGGACCCCAAAGGCCUUUCACCGCUGCGGGCCAGUCCUCAGUCAGCUGGAGGGUGGGUCCCACGGAAUCCUGUUAGUUUCUACCACCUCCUCCCCCUUCUCUGGAGCUGGUGGAGCUUCAGAAGUCCUGUGGAGCGUCGGCUGGGAUCAGUUUGUCUCGGUGAAAAGUAAACUUUGAAAGCACCAGCAAAGUGCCCGAAACAUAAGUGUUUAAUGUGUAUUUGAAGAAUGAAUACCUGAGUAUCUCUGUUGUGAUCUCAUAUAAAAUAUGCAGCUUCACUGAAUGAGUUCAUAAUUUUAAAUCUAUGGAGAUGACGUGGUGUGGUGGCUAAAGGAACUCCAUCUUGGAUGCUAAUCUGCCAUGUUGACUUUUGAUUAUCCCCAGUUCCAGGAAUACCUCUUUCCAGAGUGUUGAAUCUUCCACCAGAAAACUUGAUCACAUCAAUAUCUGCAGUUCCAAUUUCCCAAAAAGAAGAAGUAGCUGAUUUUCAGCUUUCUGUGGAUUCUUUAUUGGAAAAAGACAAUGACCAUUCAAGACCAGAUAUUCAAGUUCAAGCCAAGAGACUAGCAGAGAAGCUAAGAUGUGAUACAGUGGUGAGUGAAAUCAGUACUGGUCAAAGGACUGUAAAUUUCAAAAUAAACAGAGAGCUCUUAACAAAGACAGUGCUACAACAAGUAAUUGAAGAUGGCUCAAAAUAUGGAUUAAAAAGUGAACUUUUCUCUGGACUUCCCCAGAAGAAGAUUGUGGUUGAAUUCAGUUCACCUAAUGUUGCCAAAAAAUUUCAUGUUGGACAUUUGCGUUCUACCAUCAUAGGAAAUUUUAUAGCAAAUCUCAAAGAAGCUUUAGGACAUCAAGUAAUAAGAAUAAAUUACCUUGGCGAUUGGGGCAUGCAGUUUGGUCUUCUGGGAACUGGCUUCCAGCUGUUUGGCUAUGAGGAAAAACUGCAGUCCAAUCCUCUACAGCAUCUCUUUGAAGUUUAUGUACAAGUUAAUAAAGAAGCAGCAGAUGAUAAAAGUGUAGCAAAAGCAGCACAGGAGUUCUUCCAACGAUUGGAACUGGGCGAUGUGCAAGCACUUUCACUGUGGCAAAAAUUUCGGGACUUGAGCAUUGAAGAGUACAUUCGGGUUUACAAGCGUCUGGGAGUAUAUUUUGAUGAAUAUUCAGGAGAAUCAUUUUAUCGUGAAAAAUCUCAAGAGGUCUUAAAGUUGCUGGAGAGUAAAGGACUCCUACUGAAAACAAUAAAAGGAACGGCUGUAGUAGAUCUCUCUGGGAAUGGCGACCCCUCCUCAAUUUGUACUGUAAUGCGAAGUGAUGGGACUUCUCUCUAUGCAACCAGAGAUCUUGCAGCUGCUAUAGAUCGAAUGGACAAGUAUAAUUUUGAUACAAUGAUAUAUGUGACAGAUAAAGGACAAAAAAAGCAUUUUCAGCAAGUAUUCCAAAUGCUGAAGAUCAUGGGAUAUGACUGGGCAGAAAGGUGCCAGCACGUGCCCUUUGGAGUAGUACAGGGAAUGAAGACUCGAAGAGGAGAUGUCACUUUCCUGGAAGAUGUUUUAAAUGAGAUUCAAUUAAGGAUGCUACAGAACAUGGCUUCAAUUAAGACAACUAAAGAACUCAAGAACCCACAAGAGACUGCAGAGAGGGUCGGGCUCGCAGCACUCAUUAUUCAGGACUUCAAAGGUUUACUCUUAUCUGACUACAAGUUCAGCUGGGAUCGUGUUUUCCAGAGUCGCGGGGACACAGGAGUCUUCCUACAGUACACACACGCCCGCCUCCACAGGGAUCAUCAAGUGUGCUUCUGCUUAUCAAAAUGGCUAUUAGCAUUUUUGCUGCCCAGUAGAGUCAACAGUCCAGUAGCUGCCUUCUGCCUCUAGACUUUUCCCAAAGGUUCGACGAGGUGCUUUAUAAAUCAUCUCAGGACUUUCAACCCAGGCAUAUCGUCAGUUACCUUCUAACUUUAAGUCAUCUUGCAGCUGUGGCACACAAAACACUACAAAUAAAAGAUAGUCCUCCUGAAGUGGCUGGGGCCAGACUUCAUCUUUUCAAAGCUGUCCGUUCUGUCCUAGCCAAUGGAAUGAAACUUCUUGGAAUAACACCUGUAUGUAGGAUGUAAUUUCCAUUAAAAUGGCUUUUAAAAUGUCAAGUGAAUUCUAGUUAUCUAUUCUGAGAUGCCUUGCUGUUCAGAAUAAAUUUAAAUUUUUUUUUUUUUUUUUUGAGAUGGAGUUUCGCUCUUGUUGCCCAGGCUGGAGUGCAAUGGUGUGAUGUUGGCUCACUGCAACCUCCACCUCCCAGGUUCAAGCAAUUCUCCUGCCUCAGCCUCCUGAGUAGCUGGGAUUACAGGCACGUGCCAUCACGCCAGGCUAAUUUUGUAUUUUUAGUAGAGACAGGGUUUCUCUAUGUUGGUCAGGCUGGUCUUGCACUCCCGACCUCAGGUUAUCUGUCUGCCUUGGCCUCCCAAAGUGUUGGGAUUAGAGGCAUGAACCACCACGCCCAGCCAAAGUUAAACUAUUAUUCUGUGUCAGAAUCUGUAUUAAAUGUGACUUGUCAAGUUAUUCAGUCUUUAUCCUUAAAUAAAUGAGUUAUCUGAA